CACGUAUUUAGCCGGUGCUUCUUAGUCAGGUACCGUCAUUUUCUUCCCUGCUGAUAGGGCUUUACAUACCGAAAUACUUCUUCACCCACGCGGCGUCGCUGCAUCAGGGUUUCCCCCAUUGUGCAAUAUUCCCCACUGCUGCCUCCCGUAGGAGUUUGGGCCGUGUCUCAGUCCCAAUGUGGCCGGUCGCCCUCUCAGGCCGGCUACUGAUCGUCGGUUUGGUGGGCUGUUACCCCGCCAACUGCCUAAUCAGACGCGGGCCCAUCCCAUACCGCUAAUGCUUUCCAUCCAGGGGCAUGCGCCCCGCAUGUACAUGCGGUAUUAGCAGCCGUUUCCGGCUGUUAUCCCCCUGUAUGGGGCAGGUUACCCACGCGUUACUCACCCGUCCGCCACUCAGUCAAAGGCGCUUCCUCCCCGAAGGGAUUCCGCUCCAGUGCUUCGUUCGACUUGCAUGUGUUAAGCACGCCGCCAGCGUUCAUCCUGAGCCAGGAUCAAACUCU
rnacentral:rRNA from 1 species